AACGCGAAGAACCUUACCAAGGCUUGACAUAUAGCGAAAAGUGGCAGAGAUGUCAUGUCCGCAAGGGCUCUAUUCAGGUGGUGCAUGGUUGUCGUCAGCUCGUGUCGUGAGAUGUUGGGUUAAGUCCCGCAACGAGCGCAACCCUUGUCUUUAGUUGCUACGCAAGAGCACUCUAAAGAGACUGCCGGUGACAAACCGGAGGAAGGUGGGGAUGACGUCAAGUCCUCAUGGCCCUUAUGGGUAGGGCUUCACACGUCAUACAAUGGUUGGUACAGAGGGUUGCCAAACCGCGAGGUGGAGCUAAUCUCUUAAAGCCGAUCGUAGUCCGGAUUGGAGUCUGCAACUCGACUCCAUGAAGUCGGAAUCGCUAGUAAUCGCAGGUCAGCAUACUGCGGUGAAUACGUUCCCGGGUCUUGUACACACCG
rnacentral:rRNA from 1 species